rnacentral:rRNA from 1 species
AGGGUGUAAACGCUGCAGACUUGGUGUUGGGAACCCUUCGGGGGUGCUCAGUGCCGGAGAGAAGUUGUUAAGUCUGCUACUUGGGGAGUACGUCCGCAAGGAUGAAACUUAAAGGAAUUGGCGGGGGAGCACCGCAACGGGAGGAGCGUGCGGUUUAAUUGGACUCAACGCCGGGAAGCUCACCGGAUAAGACAGCGGAAUGAUUGCCGGGCUGAAGACUCUGCAUGACUAGCUGAGAGGUGGUGCAUGGCGUAGACGUCU